UUGAUCCUGGCUCAGGACGAUCGCUGGCGGCGUGCCUAAGCUUAUGCAAGUCGAACGCGAACGGCUCCUUCGGGAGCCUAGUAGAGUGGCAAACGGGUGAGUAACGCGUGGGUAACGUACCCUGAUCCUGGGAAUAAGCCUCGGAAACGAGGGCUAAUACCGAAUGUGGCGAACGACCGGUUGGUCGCUCGCUAAAGGUGGCCUCUUCUAUGCUGCCGGGUUGGGAUCGGCCCGCGUCCCAUUAGCUAGUUGGUGAGGUAACGGCUCACCAAGGCCACGAUGGGUAGCCGGCCUGAGAGGGUGUACGGCCACACUGGCACUGAGACAAGGGCCAGUCCCCUAUGGGAGGCGCAGGCGGGAAUAGUUCACAAUGGGCGAAAGCCUGAUGACGCGACGCCGCGUGAGCGAAGAAGACCUUCGGGUUGUAAAGCUCUGUCAGGAGGGAAGAAGGCUCUACGGGUUAAUAGCCCGUGGAAUUGACGGUACCUCCAGAGGAAGCCCCGGCUAAAUACGUGCCAGCAGCCGCGGUAAUACGUAUGGGGCAAGCGUUGUCCGGAUUUACUGGGCGUAAAGGGCGCGUAGGCGGUUUGUUAAGUCGAAGGUGAAAUCCUCGGGCUCAACUCGAGAAUUGCCUUCGAUACUGGCAAACUAGAGUGGCGGAGAGGAAAGCGGAACUCUUGGUGUAACGGUGGAAUGUGUAGAUAUCAAGAGGAACACCGGUGGCGAAGGCGGCUUUCUGGACGCACACUGACGCUCAGGCGCGAAAGCGUGGGUAGCAAACAGGAUUAGAUACCCUGGUAGUCCACGCCAUAAACGAUGGGUACUAGGUGUCGGGGGUAUCGACCCCUCCGGUGCCGCAGUUAACGCACUAAGUACCCCGCCUGGGGAUUAUGGUC
rnacentral:rRNA from 1 species